rnacentral:rRNA from 1 species
GAUGAACGCUGGCGGCGUGCCUAAUACAUGCAAGUCGAGCGAACGGACGAGAAGCUUGCUUCUCUGAUGUUAGCGGCGGACGGGUGAGUAACACGUGGAUAACCUACCUAUAAGACUGGGAUAACUUCGGGAAACCGUAGCUAAUACCGGAUAAUAUUUUGAACCGCAUGGUUCAAAAGUGAAAGACGGUCUUGCUGUCACUUAUAGAUGGAUCCGCGCUGCAUUAGCUAGUUGGUAAGGUAACGGCUUACCAAGGCAACGAUGCAUAGCCGACCUGAGAGGGUGAUCGGCCACACUGGAACUGAGACACGGUCCAGACUCCUACGGGAGGCAGCAGUAGGGAAUCUUCCGCAAUGGGCGAAAGCCUGACGGAGCAACGCCGCGUGAGUGAUGAAGGUCUUCGGAUCGUAAAACUCUGUUAUUAGGGAAGAACAUAUGUGUAAGUAACUGUGCACAUCUUGACGGUACCUAAUCAGAAAGCCACGGCUAACUACGUGCCAGCAGCCGCGGUAAUACGUAGGUGGCAAGCGUUAUCCGGAAUUAUUGGGCGUAAAGCGCGCGUAGGUGGUUUUUUAAGUCUGAUGUGAAAGCCCACGGCUCAACCGUGGAGGGUCAUUGGAAACUGGAAAACUUGAGUGCAGAAGAGGAAAGUGGAAUUCCAUGUGUAGCGGUGAAAUGCGCAGAGAUAUGGAGGAACACCAGUGGCGAAGGCGACUUUCUGGUCUGUAACUGACGCUGAUGUGCGAAAGCGUGGGGAUCAAACAGGAUUAGAUACCCUGGUAGUCCACGCCGUAAACGAUGAGUGCUAAGUGUUAGGGGGUUUCCGCCCCUUAGUGCUGCAGCUAACGCAUUAAGCACUCCGCCUGGGGAGUACGACCGCAAGGUUGAAACUCAAAGGAAUUGACGGGGACCCGCACAAGCGGUGGAGCAUGUGGUUUAAUUCGAAGCAACGCGAAGAACCUUACCAAAUCUUGACAUCCUUUGACAACUCUAGAGAUAGAGCCUUCCCCUUCGGGGGACAAAGUGACAGGUGGUGCAUGGUUGUCGUCAGCUCGUGUCGUGAGAUGUUGGGUUAAGUCCCGCAACGAGCGCAACCCUUAAGCUUAGUUGCCAUCAUUAAGUUGGGCACUCUAAGUUGACUGCCGGUGACAAACCGGAGGAAGGUGGGGAUGACGUCAAAUCAUCAUGCCCCUUAUGAUUUGGGCUACACACGUGCUACAAUGGACAAUACAAAGGGCAGCGAAACCGCGAGGUCAAGCAAAUCCCAUAAAGUUGUUCUCAGUUCGGAUUGUAGUCUGCAACUCGACUACAUGAAGCUGGAAUCGCUAGUAAUCGUAGAUCAGCAUGCUACGGUGAAUACGUUCCCGGGUCU